ensembl:lncRNA
AGCCGCCAAAGCCUUGUCUGAUUAUUUGUCCCAUCUUGUCCAGAUCCUGGAAAUCCCCACCAGUCCUGUCUUGUCCCCUGACCCUGUCCCCAGAGAUCCCGAGCCAACCACAGUUAGUGCUACUCCUGACCCAGUUUCUGUCUCCCCUGAUCUUGCCCCGUGUCCUGUGAACGUUGCCCCGUGUCCAGCUGAUGUUGUCAUGUGUCCCGUAGGUGUUUCCCCGUGUCCCGUAGAUGUUUCCCCGUGUCACGUGAGUUCUCCUGUCAUGUCCUCUGUUGUAAAUGGUCCUGAGACCACUCCCCACCCUAGACCACCCAGACCUGCCCGAACCCCUCGUUGUCAGCCUUCGUCCCGUCCUCCUAAGACUCCUACCCCACCCACCCACCCUGGUCUGUCCCCCAUGAACUUUGUGGUCCCGCCUCCUCCCCUGCCCUGUUUGUUUUUCUUGAUAUGCCACCCUAACCCUAUUGUUGUGUUUUCAUGUUUGCCCUUAUUACUAUUUGUCAUGUCGUAUUGGUUUUUGUCUCUGUCCC